ensembl:lncRNA
CCUUGAUGUCUCACUCCCUAUUUUUUCUUGUCCUAUAGCUCUUAAUAUUCUUUCCGUGAUGAUAUUAUUGAAAUAUUGAAUAUGAUAAACAAUGGAAAGUAUUUUCUCUAGUCACAUAUAUUGAAAUUCUAAAUCUCUCUUGACAUUGUAUGCAUUUUCCUGGCCAGAGGUUCUGGGAUGCUUUCAAUACUGACAUAUCUACAAUCACCUUUGCUUGGAGAAAGGAGUUAAGUGUUAUGCCUUCUGUGAAUGAAGAGGAAGAUCCAAGUCUACACUCCUCAGAGAAACAAGAAACCAGAAAAUUUUCAUCAAAUGAGCCAGAAAUUCUUCUUGACUUCAACACAACAUGGCCAUUGGGAACAGAAUAAACCACAAAUAAGGAAAUGGAGAAAGUGGUUGACACACACAAAAUUCUUGGUUUUAAAUUUAAUAAUCAUGCUAGUUAUGGGAUGGAGCUUUGAAAAUAGAGCCAAUGACAGGAUGAAAAACACUGAC